rnacentral:lncRNA from 1 species
GUAUGAGGUAAUCAAAAAGGGGAGAAAACAUGGGUUAUCUAUUAGUUGUCAAUUAGAUUUAUUUGACAAGUUAGUGAAACCGGUCUUAUUGUACGGUUGUGAAAUUUGGGGGUUUGGGAAUAACGACAUUUUGGAGAAAGUUCAAUUAAAAUUCUGUAAGCUUCUUCUGCACCUAAAGUCUUCUACCCCAAAUUGCGUAAUAUAUGGUGAACUUGGACGAUAUCCCAUCAAUUUAGAUAUUAAAGUCCGUAUGGUAUCAUUUUGGUUGAAA